UGGAAAAGUUACCAGGGUUUUAUCAAGACAUUUUAAGUGGUAAGUCAUUUUUUGACUUUUGCCAAGUUUUAAUUUAAGUGUUGAGGUGAAGUCUUUUGACUAAUUUGAUAUUCAAAACAUCCUGUGUUCAAAGACAAAUUUACUAUACCAUGCCACUGUCCAGAUCGGAAACUUGGCACAAGGAGUCACUGCCAUUGUCCUAAAUGUGCCAAAAUAAUAAGCAGAUCUGUAGAUUUUAAAACACACUUGCGUAAACAUGGUAGGCUAUUGUAAAUAUUCUAAAUCCUUUAAGCGUAAUGAGUGAAAUUGCAUUUUUCAACUGUAUAAUUCCCUUUCUCUGCAACUACAGGUCUGAUGGUGCCAACAACAACAUCUGAAAAGAAACAACCUGAAGAUAAAGACAUCC